AGAGUUUGAUCAUGGCUCAGAACGAACGCUGGCGGCAUGCCUAACACAUGCAAGUCGAACGAGACCUUCGGGUCUAGUGGCGCACGGGUGCGUAACGCGUGGGAAUCUGCCCUAGGGUACGGAAUAACUCAGAGAAAUUUGAGCUAAUACCGUAUGAUGACGUAAGUCCAAAGAUUUAUCGCCCUGGGAUGAGCCCGCGUAGGAUUAGCUUGUUGGUGAGGUAAAAGCUCACCAAGGCGACGAUCCUUAGCUGGUCUGAGAGGAUGAUCAGCCACACUGGGACUGAGACACGGCCCAGACUCCUACGGGAGGCAGCAGUGGGGAAUAUUGGACAAUGGGCGAAAGCCUGAUCCAGCAAUGCCGCGUGAGUGAUGAAGGCCUUAGGGUUGUAAAGCUCUUUUACCCGGGAAGAUAAUGACUGUACCGGGAGAAUAAGCCCCGGCUAACUCCGUG
rnacentral:rRNA from 1 species